GACGUAGGGUGCGAGCGUUGUCCGGAUUUAUUGGGCGUAAAGAGCUCGUAGGCGGCUCGUCGCGUCGACCGUGAAAACCCGCAGCUUAACUGCGGGCUUGCGGUUGAUACGGGCGGGCUAGAGUUCGGUAGGGGAGACUGGAAUCCUGGUGUAGCGGUGGAAUGCGCAGAUAUCAGGAGGAACACCAAUGGCGAAGGCAGCUCGCUGGAACGGUACUGACGCUGAGGCGCGAAAGCGUGGGGAGCGAACAGG
rnacentral:rRNA from 1 species